rnacentral:lncRNA from 1 species
UUAGAUUCACAAAUACUUCUAUUCUUGAAAAUUUUAUUUUACAAUCUUUAACCUUGGACGGAUCCACAGAAACUCCUUUACUCGAAAUUACAUGAUCGAGAAAGAAAACUCGAUCCAACCAGAAGGAGCAUUUGCUAAGUUUAGCAUAAAGUUAGUUCUGACAAAGGGUCUCUAACACUUCAUCAAGUGUACUGCAUGUUCCCCAUAACUCUUAGAGUACACU